AUUGAACGCUGGCGGCAUGCUUUACACAUGCAAGUCGAACGGCAGCGCGGGCUUCGGCCUGGCGGCGAGUGUCGAACGGGUGAGUAAUGCAUCGGAACGUGCCCAGUAGUGGGGGAUAGCCCGGCGAAAGCCGGAUUAAUACCGCAUACGACCUGAGGGUGAAAGCGGGGGACCGAAAGGCCUCGCGCUAUUGGAGCGGCCGAUGUCGGAUUAGCUAGUUGGUGGGGUAAAGGCUUACCAAGGCGACGAUCCGUAGCUGGUCUGAGAGGACGACCAGCCACACUGGGACUGAGACACGGCCCAGACUCCUACGGGAGGCAGCAGUGGGGAAUUUUGGACAAUGGGGGCAACCCUGAUCCAGCCAUGCCGCGUGCGGGAAGAAGGCCUUCGGGUUGUAAACCGCUUUUGUUCGGGAAGAAAUCCUCUGGGCUAAUACCCCGGGGGGAUGACGGUACCGGAAGAAUAAGCACCGGCUAACUACGUG
rnacentral:rRNA from 1 species